CCUGCAGGUUGGAGGUGGAAGCUCCUGCUUUACCAACUUCAGAUAAUUUGUUACAGGCAUUUAUCACAUUACUAUGAGCUUUGUUGACUUCAGUGGAACUUGACGUGGACCUUUCAGCUGACAACCUCCAAUUACACGUUGGGUCAGAUAUUGGGUGCUUCAUUGCCAUGGAAAUCAAUGGAAGUCCAGGAUCUAAGUGCCCCUUCAGCUAAUUCUCAUACCACCACUCUAAGGCAUUGAACUUUUCUGGAUCCAACUCACUGGGUUCAAAGUGUUCUUUGGUGUGCAAAUCUGAAAGCUUGAAGGGAUGCCAUGUGUCUUCAACCAAACAAGGGGGAACAGAGAAUCCCAAACCAUUAUUGUCUGUUGUGAUGUCUUGAUAAGGACUAGAUGGGAGCUGUUCACCUUCAAAAUCAUGGGGCCAGAAGGAUAUCAGAAAUGUACAAAGGGGGCUUUCUGCUACAGACUGUUGAGCCGACAGAGAAGGUUGAGAUGUGUAUACAAGGACCCAGGCUGUGCAGCACCUUG
rnacentral:lncRNA from 1 species